GGGACAGCUUUGCUUUUAUCUCUGCUCCUGCCAGGAGCUCUGCCAUUUACUCAUGAAUGAGCCAGAGAUCAGAAAAAGCUGCCGUAGAAAGAGAAUUCCACAAUGAUUUCUCAGCCAGUGGGAUCAGCCAGAAGCAUCCUUCUCUUUGUCUGAGCAAGAGAUGCAAAUUACAGAUGGGAGCCAUUGGCAAUUACUUGCCCUGGACAAGUGUAUGUUUUGGGGUGGGUCUGCAGCAUCUGAACGGAUAGAUCAGGGCAGGACAGAGGCAGACAACAUUUCAGAAAGGUGAAAAAGAGAAAAAGCCCAACCUGGAGAAUGCUGCCCUGCCUGCCGAGAAGAAUGUGCUCAAAAGCCCUCGGAAGCUGCAACCAUUUCUUUUACAUUCUGCUCCUAUUCCUUAUUCGAUUAAGAACAUUUACCUGACAAAAGGAGCAAGAAACUACUCUGCUUAAUGAUACAGGUAAGAGAAGAAAACACAAGGAUUUAAUUCCCGGGAGCAUCUCCCCUCUUUGUCUCAGCCUGCUCUCCAUGCUCACACUCUUCAUCCUGCUGCCCGUGACUAAAUCCCGGGUUUUUAUGUCACUGACCCGGUUCCGCACCGCCACGCUCCUCCCCGUUGGGUGAAGCUCCCCAUGUGAUCCAACCUCCCCCCUAAAUAAAGUUGAAGAAUUUGGCAGAGCUCAGUGAGUGCUGCUGAGCUGGCGGAGCCCGUUCCCGUUCCCUCCCUCCCCGCAGCCGCAGCCCAACCCAGGAGCCUCUCCAUCCGGCACCGGCUGCCUCUCGGCUUUGCGGACCUCCCAGGACACCUCCAUGGUGCGGAUCCAGCGGGGGCUCCCAGCCCUGCCCCCCCCUGCCCUGGUGCCCGCAGCCCGGCCGGCAGCGCAGGAUGUGGCCGGAGAAGGAAUCUGACAGCUGUGGACACAGAUGAGACAAGACUGGGGUUCAGGUCAUUCUUCCAGAUUUGCAGUCAGUGGGGACACCUCCUGAACUCCAGCAUAACGAGGACAAAAUCCUCCCAAACAAGCCAAGUCUGAGAGGAAACAUCAGAGAAGAGGGGAAAAUUAAAACCCUUGGUUAACAUGAGAGCUCCAGUUCCAUAGCUCAUUUUGCUCAUGCCUAUGAUGGUGAGGAAACCAAGCCUGCCCCUCAGCAAAAAACCAUGCCCUUGAUUUCACUCACUUUUGGGAAUAUUUGGGGGAAGAAAACCAACCUCUCGCUGAAUGAACUCCUAAGAUAUAAACUACACUUGUUGCAGUGCUUGUUUUCCUUUCAAGCCUGCUAAGCCCAGCCACUGCGAUGCUACUGGGAAAUUGAUUUGAUUUUCUUCAAAUAUCUGUUCAAGAAAAAGCAGCUCCCACUGGCAGUCAGCUCUGCAGCCUUCCCCACCCUUCUCUAAAGGAGACAACAGCACACGGAGGUUUCUGUGGGUCCAGGUGAGCUCUGUGUGAAGGCUGUGACACACACUGCUCCCUGCCUCCACGACCAAGAAAAGCUCCUGAGCAUCCUCUGUGCCUGGAGAACCCAAGGAGACCCCUCCCACGAAUGACAGAGGUGACCAGGGAACCCCAGCCCUUGCUGCUCCUGAAGUUUUGACCCAGUGAAAACAACGACUGAAUCCCAAUGAGGCCCAAGUUCAAGGAAGUUCCUGUCCCUGCUCUCUUGGCCUCAACAGACUAUGAAAACUUUGCUGAUCUCAACACAACCAGAGACACCGAAAUGAAGCAGCUGGAAGGGUCCCUCUCGUCCACUAUUGCACUGAUAAUAGUGCUGACUAUUAUUUUCUCUUUGGUAAUGACAUCCCUAGUAACCUACCUGUUUCAUAAGUGGAAACUGAGAGGUAAAAAGCUGCAGAAAGCACAAGAGGAGUAUCAGAGAGACCAAGAAAAGAGCAUUUUUCAAAGCACGCCCGGACUUGUUUCAUAAAAAAAAAAAAAAAAAAAGAUCUACCAGGAGAUACCUGAAAAUGAAGACAGUAACAGAGCAGCAACUAUGAAAAUUUCCAAGCACUUAUAUCCUUGUUUUAUGUCAUUUAUAAAAGAGUUGUAAGCAGUUUGGAGGUUUCCUACAGCUUUAUUAUACAUAUAUAAAUAUAUUUAUAUACUUAGUCUCAUUUGUGCCAAGUAAAACCAGUGCAACCAUGUCUUUUUAAUCCUUGUUGUGUUCCUAAGUCGAGUCAAUUUCAAUCUGUUGCUUGCACUCUAUCACAAACCCACCGGCCUGUGGAUGGCAGGAGGUCAGACUUUGGUUAAUGCAAACCAACCAGGCUGACAAACAUCAACAGAGUUGUGUUGCCUUCCUCCCACCUAUCCAGCUGAAGAGUCUGAAAUCCCACCAGAGGCUUAAACCAGACCCUAAACAGCAGCAGGAGCAGCAGCAGCCUGGUCCUGAGAGCCUGUGCCUGAAGAACUCCUCGUGUCUUCAGCAACAGCUCCACACAGGACCAAGCCCUGGAUUUGUUUGCAGGUGGGAAAUCAGGAUUUCCAGGUCAGUGGAGAGAGGUGCUAGCAGCAUUCCAGCAGUGGAUGAAGGACAUCCAGGGGAAUCUCACUUCCCAAGGCAAGAGCACUUUUUUUAACUGGGCUUGGUGAUUAUUUUUAAGCCAAGCCUCCGACGGCGUGUUUCUAUUUUCAUAGCCUGCAAUGUUAUGUCACAGAAUUCAUGAGAGAUCUGUUGUGAGUAGCAUAUAGAGGUAAUAUUUUCUAACAAAGUGAUGGCUGUAUUGUUAAUGUAGGCAAUUGUUUUAACAAGCAGGAAACAUGUAAAAUGACAAACAAAAGCCCUGCUCAAGUAUACGGCUUGCUUGCGACCGCCAGUAACGCUAGAUGUGUUUUAAAAGAAGCUAUCAUGCUGUGAUGAUGCUGUAAACUUCCUUCUGUAGGCAAAAAUGUUCUAUUUAAAAAUGUGGAGAUGAAGUAUGUAAAUGUUCUUCAAGUGCUAUAUCAACUAAACCCAUGAAUUUUCACAGAAUAUUCUGAAGGGUUCUGUUACAUGCUACAGAUCUAUUUUACGAACAUAUUUAUGGAUCAUACACACUGGUCUAUGUGAGAGCAAACAGCACUAUUUUAUUACAAAACCAUAUUUAUUAUGAAUAAAUAAGCAGUGAAUAAUCACGCCCAGAAGCUGGAAAA